AUGAACGCUGGCGGCGUGCCUCACCCAUGCAAGUCGAACGGAGUCCAGCCUUUAAGACCUUCGGGUCAAAGAGGGGAAGACUGAGUGGCGGACGGGUGAGUAACACGUGGGCAACCUGGCUCAUAGAGGGGGAUAACAGAGAGAAAUUUCUGCUAAUACCGCAUAAGCACACACUGCCGCAUGGCAGAGGGUGAAAAGAGAAUCGCUAUGAGAUGGACCCGCGUCUGAUUAGCCAGUUGGCAGGGUAAGAGCCUACCAAAGCGACGAUCAGUAGCCGAUCUGAGAGGAUGAACGGCCACAUUGGGGCUGAGACACGGCCCAAACUCCUACGGGAGGCAGCAGUGGGGGAUAUUGCACAAUGGGGGGAACCCUGAUGCAGCGACGCCGCGUGAGUGAAGAAGUAUUUCGGUAUGUAAAGCUCUAUCAGCAGGGAAGAUAAUGACAGUACCUGAAGAAGAAGCCCCGGCUAACUACGUG
rnacentral:rRNA from 1 species